rnacentral:rRNA from 1 species
CAGUCGCCGCGGUAAUACGAAGGGGGCUAGCGUUGCUCGGAAUUACUGGGCGUAAAGGGAGCGUAGGCGGACAUUUAAGUCAGGGGCGAAAUCCCAGAGCUCAACUCUGGAACUGCCUUUGAUACUGGGUGUCUUGAGUGUGAUAGAGGUAUGUGGAACUCCGAGUGUAGAGGUGAAAUUCGUAGAUAUUCGGAAGAACACCAGUGGCGAAGGCGACAUACUGGAUCAUUACUGACGCCGAGGCUCGAAAGCGUGGGGAGCAAACAGGAUUAGAUACCCGCGUAGUCCCUGUCUCUUAUAC